AUCGCUUCUCGGUCUUUUGGCUAAGAUCAAGUGUAGUAUCUUAUCAGUUUAAUAUCUGAUGUGUUCUAUAAAUGAGGAUGAUAUAUUAAACAGAUUUUUAGAACAGGGAGCUGGAAUAAAGUCUUGCUCUUUUUACUCCAUGCAUCAACCUGGUAUUGCAGUAUUUCCAGGAAUGGUCCCUUUGUU